rnacentral:rRNA from 1 species
UGGGGAAUAUUGCACAAUGGGCGGAAGCCUGAUGCAGCGACGCCGCGUGGGGGAUGAAGGCCUUCGGGUCGUAAACUCCUUUCGACAGGGACGAAGCUUUUGUGACGGUACCUGUAUAAGAAGCACCGGCUAACUACGUGCCAGCAGCCGCGGUAAUACGUAGGGUGCGAGCGUUGUCCGGAAUUACUGGGCGUAAAGAGCUCGUAGGUGGUUUGUCGCGUCGUCUGUGAAAUUCCGGGGCUUAACUCCGGGCGUGCAGGCGAUACGGGCUGACUUGAGUGCUGUAGGGGAGACUGGAAUUCCUGGUGUAGCGGUGAAAUGCGCAGAUAUCAGGAGGAACACCGAUGGCGAAGGCAGGUCUCUGGGCAGUAACUGACGCUGAGGAGCGAAAGCAUGGGUAGCGAACAGG